rnacentral:rRNA from 1 species
UACGAAGGGGGCUAGCGUUGCUCGGAAUCACUGGGCGUAAAGCGCACGUAGGCGGAUUGUUAAGUCAGGGGUGAAAUCCUGGAGCUCAACUCCAGAACUGCCUUUGAUACUGGCGAUCUUGAGUCCGGGAGAGGUGAGUGGAACUGCGAGUGUAGAGGUGAAAUUCGUAGAUAUUCGGAAGAACACCAGUGGCAAGGCGGCUCACUGGACUGGUAUUGACGCUGAGGUGCGAAAGCGUGGGGAGCAAACAGG